GGUAGAAGAGCGUUCUGUGCAGCGUUGAAGGCAUACCGGUAAGGAGUGUUGGAGCGCACAGAAGUGAGCAUGCAGGAAUGAGUAGCGAUAAGAUGCGUAAGAAUCGUAUCCGCCGUAAAUCUAAGGUUUCCUACGCGAUGUUCGUCAUCGUAGGGUUAGUCGGGUCCUAAGCCAAGUCCGAAAGGGGUAGGCGAUGGGAAAUAGGUUAAUAUUCCUAUACCAAUUGCAAUGUGCGAUGGGAGGACGCAUAAAGUUAGGUGAGCUAGCUGAUGGAAGUGCUAGUCGAAGGGUGUAGAUUGGGAGAGAGGCAAAUCCGCUCCUGUAUUUGAAACCUGACAGGCUCUUUGAGGUCUUCGGAUCAAGAAGAGAAUCACUGAUACUAUCGUGCCAAGAAAAGUCUCUAAGUUUAGUUGCAAUUGUCCGUACCGCAAACCGACACAGGUAGAUGAGAUGAGUAUUCUAAGGCGCGUGGAAGAACUCUCUUUAAGGAACUCUGCAAACUAGCACCGUAAGUUCGCGAUAAGGUGUGCCUACGCAAGUAGGUCUCAGCAAAGAGUCCCUCCCGACUGUUUACCAAAAACACAGCACUUUGCCAACUCGUAAGAGGAAGUAUAAGGUGUGACGCCUGCCCGGUGCUCGAAGGUUAAGAGGAUGGGUUAGCCGCAAGGCGAAGCUUUGAAUUGAAGCCCGAGUAAACGGCGGCCGUAACUAUAACGGUCCUAAGGUAGCGAAAUUCCUUGUCGGUUAAAUACCGACCUGCAUGAAUGGCGUAACGAGAUGGGAGCUGUCUCAAAGAGAGAUCCAGUGAAAUUGUAGUGGAGGUGAAAAUUCCUCCUACCCGCAGCAAGACGGAAAGACCCCGUGGACCUUUACUACAGCUUAGCACUGCUAAUGGGAAUGCCAUGCGCAGGAUAGGUGGGAGGCGCUGAAGCAGAUACUUUGGUGUCUGUGGAGCCAUCCUUGAGAUACCACCCUUGGCGUUUUUGUUAGCUAACUGGCUAGAGUUAUCCUCUAGCAGGACAAUGCUUGGUGGGUAGUUUGACUGGGGCGGUCGCCUCCUAAAAAGUAACGGAGGCUUACAAAGGUUAGCUCAUGGCGGUUGGAAAUCGCCAGUUGAGUGUAAUGGCACAAGCUAGCUUAACUGCAAGAGAGACAACUCAAGCAGAGACGAAAGUCGGUCAUAGUGAUCCGGUGGUUCUCGUGUGGGAGAGCCAUCGCUCAAAGGAUAAAAGGUACCCCGGGGAUAACAGGCUGAUCUCCCCCAAGAGCUCACAUCGACGGGGAGGUUUGGCACCUCGAUGUCGGCUCAUCGCAUCCUGGGGCUGGAGCAGGUCCCAAGGGUAUGGCUGUUCGCCAUUUAAAGCGGUACGCGAGCUGGGUUCAGAACGUCGUGAGACAGUUCGGUCCCUAUCUGCUGUGGGCGUAGGAAAGCUGAGGAGAGCUGUCCCUAGUACGAGAGGACCGGGAUGGACAUGCCACUGGUGCACCAGUUGUUCUGCCAAGAGCACCGCUGGGUAGCUACGCAUGGUUGUGAUAAGAGCUGAAAGCAUCUAAGCUCGAAGCCAACUCCAAGAUAAGCUUUCCCUGAAGCUCGCAUGAAGACUACAUGUUUGAUAGGGUGGGUGUGUAAGUGCAGUAAUGCAUUUAGCUAACCACUACUAAUAGAGCGUUUGGCUUGUUUG
rnacentral:rRNA from 1 species